rnacentral:rRNA from 1 species
AGAGCGAGCAAUAUCAUGCUUGACUCUUCCUUCCAUGGUCGCCUCGGUGACUUUGGCCUUGCACACAUCGUCACUUUGAACAAGAACUCCUACACAGAUGUGGGUGUCGCCGGAACCUGGGGCUUCAUUGCGCCAGAGUACUCAGUCUGCCACAAGGCCACUCGCAAGACUGACGUAUAUGCCUUUGGGGUGCUAGUCCUCGAGAUUGUUACCGGAGAACGGGCACUUGCUGGGAACCAUGACCAUGAGACGCUUCAACCGCUCACCGACUGGGUCUGGUGGGUUCACCGGGAGGGAAGGUUGCUCCAUGCGGUGGACGACAAAGUCACUUCCACCCAAGAAUUUGAUCCCAAUGACGCUACUCGCUUGUUGCUUCUUGGACUGGCUUGUAGCAACCCGAACCCGUCUGACCGACCAAGCAUGGCCGAGGUAGUGCAAGUCCUAGCCAAAUCAGUGCCGCCACCGGAAGUGCCGCUUGUGAAACCUAUAUUUGUUUGGCCACCUGAAGGCGGGAUCCCCAUGGAAUUUGAUCACGUGGUGGCAAUGAGCAGCCUCGACUGGGAGGACAUGUCUAGUAGUGAAGCCCUACGGGCGAGCAUACCAUCAGAGGUGAAUAGGCGCAAGGCUCGAGUUGGGCAUUCCAAUGCAUCUGUAUCAGCUGAGGAUUAUUAUGUGUAG